rnacentral:lncRNA from 1 species
GCUAUGUGCUGUGAGUGAUAUAAGAGGAAGAAGAAGAGAGACAAUCAAUCACAAACACCAAGUUUUAUAGUGGUUCGGAGCUAACCCUUGCUCCUACGUCCACUCCCCAAGUCUCACUUGGAAAUUCACUAUAACCCCCUUGGAUUACAGCCGGUUGUUUUCCAAGCUCACAACCAAACUUGUUGUUUUACGAGCUCACAACGAACUCGGUCGGUUUUUCCAGGCUCACCGACUAGAACCACCCCGAUUGUUUUCUCGGGAUCACAAUCGAACCCUUACACACGUUGGUUUUACACUCGGCUCACCAACCAACCUCAAUACCCUUGAUUCAAUCCCCCGAUUAAACCAA